rnacentral:rRNA from 1 species
UACGUAGGUGACAAGCGUUAUCCGGAUUUAUUGGGCGUAAAGCGCACGCAGGCGGCUCUUCAAGUCUGACGUGAAAUCUCUCGGCUUAACCGGGAGCGGUCGUUGGAAACUGAAGGGCUUGAGGCGAUGAGAGGGGUGUGGAAUUCCCGGUGUAGUGGUGGAAUGCGUAGAUAUCGGGAGGAACAUCAGUGGCGAAAGCGGCACCCUGGCAUUAGCCUGACGCUCGUGUGCGAAAGCGUGGGGAGCGAACGGG